GUGCUCACUUUGGUAGCACAUAUACUAAAAUUGAAAUCAGAGAAGGUUUGGAUGGCCCCUGCUCAAGGAUGACAUGCAAAUUCGUGAAGUGUUCCAUAUUUUU
rfam:Otolemur garnettii contig009542, whole genome shotgun sequence.